CUCAGGAUGAACGCUAGUGGCGUGCUUAAUACAUGCAAGUCGAACGAACCUUGAAAUUGAAGCUUCGGUGAAAAUUUCUCUGGUGAGUGGCAAACGGGUGAGUAAUGCAUAGGUAACCUGCCUCAUAGUCUGGGACAACCAUUCGAAAGGAUGGCUAAUACCGGAUAUUCUUAAAUUAUCGCAUGAUUUUUUAAGGAAAGAUCCGUCGCUAUGAGAUGGGCCUAUGUCUGAUUAGCUUGUUGGUAGGGUAAUGGCCUACCAAGGCUACGAUCAGUAGCUGGUCUGAGAGGAUGGUCAGCCACACUGGAACUGAGAUACGGUCCAGACUCCUACGGGAGGCAGCAGUAGGGAAUAUUGCGCAAUGGGCGAAAGCCUGACGCAGCGACGCCACGUGAGUGAUGAAGUCUCUAGGGAUGUAAAACUCUGUCAAGAGGAACGAUUAUGACGGUACCUCUAAAGGAAGCCCCGGCUAACUACGUGCCAGCAGCCGCGGUAAUACGUAGGGGGCAAGCGUUAUCCGAAUUUAUUGGGCAUAAAGAGCAUGUAGGCGGUAUUUUAAGUCAGAUGUAAAAAGCUUCAGCCCAACUGAAGUUAGCCUCUGAAACUGAAAUACUUGAGGUUAGGAGAGGGAAGCGGAACUCACGGUGUAGCGGUGAAAUGCGUAGAUAUCGUGAGGAACACCAGUUGCGAAGGCGGCUUCCUGGCCUAAUUCUGACGUUGAGAUGCGAAAGCGUGGGGAGCGAACGGGAUUAGAUACCCCGGUAGUCCACGCCGUAAACGAUGUUCACUAGGUGUUGGAGGUAUCGACCCCUUCAGUGCCAAAGAUAAUUCGUUAAGUGAACCGCCUGGGAAGUACGACCGCAAGGUUAAAACUCAAAGGAAUUGACGGGGGCCCGCACAAGCAGUGGAGCAUGUGGUUUAAUUCGAC
rnacentral:rRNA from 1 species